GACGAACGCUGGCGGCGUGCUUAACACAUGCAAGUCGAACGAUGAAGAAAAGAAUCGCAGCUUCGGCAGAAAUUCAUUUCGGAUUAGUGGCAGACGGGUGAGUAACGCGUGAGCAACCUACCUCUUACAAAGGGAUAGCCUCGGGAAACCGGGAUUAAUACCAUAUAACAUUGUGACGAAGCAUUUCGAUGCAAUCAAAGCUACGGCGGUAAGAGAUGGGCUCGCGUCCCAUUAACCGGAUGGUGAGGUAACGGCUCACCAUAGUGACGAUGGGUAACCGGCCUGAGAGGGUGAACGGUCACACUGGGACUGAGACACGGUCCCGACUCCUCGCGGAGGGAGCAGUGGGGAAUAUUGCACGAUGGAGGGAACUCUGAAGCAGCCACGCCGCGGGAGUGAUGAAGGAAUUCAUUUCGUAAAACUCUGUUCUAUGGGAAGAAAAGGACUGUACCAUAGGAGAAAGCUCCGGCUAAAUACGUG
rnacentral:rRNA from 1 species